rnacentral:rRNA from 1 species
CCCUCUCCCCUUCUUCUCCACCACCGGCCGCCGCCACGGCCAGGCCGGCGUGGUGGUGCGCCACCCAGCACCUCCACCCGCUCCACUUCACCACUGCUCCACCCAGCACAUCCAGCAGCACCGCACAUAUCCACCACCCGCCGCUGCACCAUCCAUCCACCAACACCACCAUCGCCAUCUCGCGCGCACUACCAGACCCUGGUCUGGUGCCUCGCGCGACUCUGCCUUCUGCUGCUGCUCCGUCUUCUCCUUUACCUGCUGCUGCUCUGCUUCCACGCCUUGCUGCUGCUCCCUCCUACUGCUCCCUAAACUUGUUUGCUGCUGCUUCCCCUCUCCUAGCGCCUCAACCUGCUGCUUCUUCUUCCCCAAACUCUGCUACUACUCCCCCUUUUCCUCUCCCUUCACCUGCUGCGAUCUCUCUCUCUCCCACAUCUUUGCUGCUGCCCCUGCUGAACCCUCUUCUCUCCUUGCUGCUCUUUCUCUUCUCCCUCAACGCCUGCUGCUGCUUCCUCUCAACGCCCCUGCUACUUCUUCUCCCACGGCGUACUCUGAACCCCAUACUGCUGCUACUACGUUCCACCUGCUGCUGUUCUCUCUCUCUCUCGCUUUCUCUGAAAAUUUCUGUGAAGUUAGGCAGUGUAUGACAUUUAAUAUUCAGAUUUGAUACGUGCUUGCAAUCUGUAAUUGGUUCAGUUGUACUUGUAAUAUAACGUCAAUCUUAUGUGUACUGACUGGUCGAUGCACCUAUAUAAAUUCGGUUUACCUAUGCUAUAUUCUUCACUUGUAUGGUUCAUGUGUGUGUGUGUGUAAUUUUGUGAACCAUUAGUGUUGAGACUUAUUCAAUUGUAGACUGCUUUGUGCUAUUUCAAUAUCUGUGAUUCAUCUGUCAAGUAGCCGUCUGUUACAUUCAGUUUACUUGUUCUGAAUCUUAUUCUAAAAUUGCUCUCUAUUGUAGUCAGGGAGUAAUUUUCAGUAUCUGUGUAGCUAUGUACCUAUGAUAUAAGUGUUUGUAAUGCGACCCAUAUACAUUCUGCUAUAUGUGUUCAUGUCCUGUUAUUCCCUUUGUGUUACUGUUUUAGUUUCUCAUGCAAAUAAAAAUAAUACCAAAAAGACAAAGAGUAUAAUCUGAACCUCCCUUUGCUUCUUUUCAUUUACUUUGUCUGUUGAUUU